rnacentral:rRNA from 2 species
ACGAACUCUGGCGGCGUGCCUAAUACAUGCAAGUCGAACGAACUCUGGUAUUGAUUGGUGCUUGCAUCAUGAUUUACAUUUGAGUGAGUGGCGAACUGGUGAGUAACACGUGGGAAACCUGCCCAGAAGCGGGGGAUAACACCUGGAAACAGAUGCUAAUACCGCAUAACAACUUGGACCGCAUGGUCCGAGCUUGAAAGAUGGCUUCGGCUAUCACUUUUGGAUGGUCCCGCGGCGUAUUAGCUAGAUGGUGGGGUAACGGCUCACCAUGGCAAUGAUACGUAGCCGACCUGAGAGGGUAAUCGGCCACAUUGGGACUGAGACACGGCCCAAACUCUACGGGAGGCAGCAGUAGGGAAUCUUCCACAAUGGACGAAAGUCUGAUGGGAGCAAACGCGGCGUGAGUGGAAGGAAAGGCUUUCGGCUGGUAAAAGUCUGUUGGU